rnacentral:rRNA from 1 species
UCGCUAUGGGAUGGCCCCGCGGUGCAUUAGCUAGUUGGUAAGGUAACGGCUUACCAAGGCAAUGAUGCAUAGCCGAGUUGAGAGACUGAACGGCCACAUUGGGACUGAGACACGGCCCAAACUCCUACGGGAGGCAGCAGUAGGGAAUCUUCCACAAUGGACGCAAGUCUGAUGGAGCAACGCCGCGUGAGUGAAGAAGGUUUUCGGAUCGUAAAGCUCUGUUGUUGGUGAAGAAGGAUAGAGGUAGUAACUGGCCUUUAUUUGACGGUAAUCAACCAGAAAGUCACGGCUAACUACGUGCCAGCAGCCGCGGUAAUACGUAGGUGGCAAGCGUUGUCCGGAUUUAUUGGGCGUAAAGCGAGCGCAGGCGGAAGAAUAAGUCUGAUGUGAAAGCCCUCGGCUUAACCGAGGAACUGCAUCGGANACUGUUUUUCUUGAGUGCAGAAGAGGAGAGUGGAACUCCAUGUGUAGCGGUGGAAUGCGUAGAUAU